GGCCGCGGGAAUUCGAUUCAGGCCUAACACAUGCAAGUCGAACGGAGUGCCGUUUUUGAUUUUUUCGGAAUGACGAAGCAGUUACUUAGUGGCGGACGGGUGAGUAACGCGUGAGGAACCUGCCUUCCAGAGGGGGACAACAGUUGGAAACGACUGCUAAUCCCGCAUAAUGCAGCGAGGUCGCAUGACUUUGCUGCCAAAGAUUUAUCGCUGGAAGAUGGCCUCGCGUCUGAUUAGAUAGUUGGUGAGGUACCGGCCCACCAAGUCGACGAUCAGUAGCCGGACUGAGAGGUUGAACGGCCACAUUGGGAUUGAGACACGGCCCAGACUCCUACGGGAGGCAGCAGUGGGGAAUAUUGCGCAAGGGGGGCAACCCUGACGCAGCAACGCCGCGGAAGAAGAGAGGUCUUCGGAUUGUAAACUUUUUCUUAUGGAAGAUAAU
rnacentral:rRNA from 1 species